AUGUUGGUGGCUAAAGCCGCCCUUCAAAUGGCUUCAGACUUGGAAAUGCGGAGGCUUCUUUUGGAAACUAAUGCUCUUAUGCUGAAAGAGGCAUUUGAAGAUCGAGGCAUCGAUUUUUCUUGCCUUAGUGCUAUGGUUGAUCGCUUGAAAGCUUUCAACGAUGUUGGGUUGAUCCACUUGAUCGUGAGCAUGCUGAUAGAGGAGGUGCCCUUGCGCAUCAAGUUCAGUAUGGAUUGGGAGGUCCGCUGCGACCACUCAACCAAAGUCCCCACUUACAGCCGGCCAGCAGGGUCCACGAGAAGAGGCAGCAGGUGA
rnacentral:rRNA from 1 species